AAACGAAAAAUCCGACAGAUUCGUAUAUCCUCAGAAAUAAGGUUUGAGGGUCUCUACAAGGAACCGUAAAUUCCUAACUACGAAUGGGUGUAUCGCUAUA
rnacentral:ncRNA from 2 species